rnacentral:lncRNA from 1 species
UCUUCAGUAGGCGUGUGGUGCCUCCAUUGAAAAUUCUAGUUAGAUCUAACCAUUAAUAUGACUACACCAAGCACAUCCAACAAACGAAUGUCUAAGCCCGAGGUGGCUCAGCCAACCUGAGCAUUGAUCUAAAGGAUACAACAAGAUGGUCAUAUGAUAAAUGACAAUUUCAAUACCUAAUAGACACCAGGCAUGUGACGCCUCUAAUGCCUAUUUAAAAUAUUGGACCUAUUAUCACACACUUUAAUGGGAGGCUAUGAACUAGUUGUUUCUAUAACUGUAUCAUUUUAAGGAUCUAAUAAUUUAG